GUCGACGCUUUGAUUUUCCCGGAGCUUGCUCCACCGAAAAUCAAAGAGUGGCGGACGGGUGAGUAACACGUGGGCAACCUGCCCAACAGAGGGGGAUAACACUUGGAAACAGGUGCUAAUACCGCAUAAUUUGUUUUCCCGCAUGGGAGAAUAAUAAAAGACGCUUCGGUGUCACUGUUGGAUGGGCCCGCGCUGCAUUAGUUAGUUGGUGGGGUAAUGG
rnacentral:rRNA from 1 species